UAAAAACCGGUUCUCGUACGAUAACCGAAGUUAAGCAACGUCGAGCCUUGUUCAGUACCUAGAUGAGUAACCGCUUGGGAAUACCAAGUACUGUAA